rnacentral:lncRNA from 1 species
GUUAUGGGGCAAUGUGGGGCACUAUGGGGUGUGUUAGGGCAGUUAUGGGGUGCUGCGGGGCGCUAUGGGGCAGGUUAGGGCAGUUAUGGGGCGAUGGGGGAAGCUGUGGGGCAGUUGUGGGGCGCUAUGGGGCAGAGCAGUGAUCCCCUCCUGCCCCACAGCGAGCGAUCGGGGCCUGGUUGCGGCGCGGCUUCGAUGGAGUCUUCCUGGACGGCAUCGAGGAGCUGAAGGUGUGGGGCUGACUUGUGGGGCGCUAUGGGGCGGGGCUGUGGGGCGCUAUGGGGCAGUGCUGUGGGGCACAGUGGGGCGCUAUGGGGCGGUGCUGUGGGGCUCUCUGGGGCGUUAUGGGGCGGUGCUGUGGGGCGCUAUGGGGCAGUGCCUUGGGGCUGUGCUGUGGGGCGCUAUGGGGCGGUGCUGUGGGGCGCAGUGGGGCGCUAUGGGGCCACGCCACGGGGCUGUGCUG